UUUAUAUAUAUUAAAUACUAAAUUUUAUAUACCAAAUACAUACAUACAUAUAUAUAUAUAUUUUUUACAAAAUAAUUGCUAUAUCCUGGAACAGGGCUACAUGCUGGAAGGUACAAGGCUAAAAUAAAAACUGUCUCUGCUGUUGAAUUUUUGUUACCUAAGUAAACCAGCUAAUGUAAACCUCAGCAUAGCAUUCUGCCUGCGCAUAGGGGAAACAACAGAGAGUAGGGAUAAAUUCUUUGAUGGAGGGGGCGGCGAUCAAGAAAGACUUGAGAAUACAUAUCAGAGGUUAGUUGUUCUCCAAAAAACUCAAGUCUCUACUUCCACAGUGUGAAGUUGGUGCUGGGAGAGGAAUCUCCAGACAGGGACUACAUUGCUCUAGCCUCCUUUAUAUAAAGCUGCAGUAACAUGCUCUCACCAGUGAGAAAUUCUCCCAAAAGAAGCUAAGCAGAAAUGAUAUGUGCUACUUACAGUUUAGGUUUCUUCAUUCUCCUUUUUUCCCACUAGAAGCAGAGGACUCUGAAGCUCCCAUGAAUGAUAGAGAGCCAAUAGAUGGAGAAGCCUGGGUCAACGAAUCACCAUGUGGAAAAACAGGAACAUUGUUAGGGAAUGGAAGGCAACUCCAACACAAUAUAAGGCCUACUAUGUUAUUUGGAGAAGCACAAUAGUAAAAAUGUGAUAUGGUUUCAAGGGAGACAAUGGCAGCAAUUUGAACACCACUGGGCAGAAUCACAAGGCUUGUGAGGCUUUCUCUGUUCCACCCUGCCUUGCCUGUGAGUAUCAAUUCUCUAAUCCUCAAUUUUGGGGUUCUUAGAGAUGUUUUGAAUUCUGCUGGUUGAGGCUUAGUUCAUUGGUUGAGGCUUAUUUUAUCAGUUGAGGCAGAACAAAUUUUGGGCCCAGUCACUGUUGUCACCUCUUCUGAAUGAUCAUAGAAAACACUAAACAGCUAUUGACAGUUGCACUCUCAGACAACAGCAAGAAUGACAGGCUUUUGAGAAAUACAAGACUGGUUGGAAAUUUGGUUUGAUUCCCAAUCUAAUCUACUGUUGCUCUAACGGAAACUUUUCUCUGUUUUGUUUUUAAAGACAGGUCUCGCUCUGUGGCCCAGGCUGGAGAAUAGCAGCAUGAUUAUAACUCACUGCAGCCUGGAACUCCUCGGCUCAAGCAGUCUUCCCACCUCAGCCUCCUGAGUAACUGGAAGUAUAGGCAUGUGCCGUCACGCCCAGCUAAUUUUUUACAAAAAUUUCUUGUACAGAUGGGGAUCAUGCUAUGUUGCUUAAGCUGAUCUUGCACUCCUGGCCUCAAGCGAUCCCUAUGCCUUGGCCUCCUGAAGUUCUAGGAUUAUAGGCUUGAGCCACUAUGCCAGCCAAACUCCAUGCUUGACUCUUGAUUUCCUACUUGGCAAUUCCUAUUGGAUUCCCAUAACCUCAUUUGGAAGUUUUAAAAAAUAUAUUGACUUCCUUCCUUCCUUCCUUCCUUCCUUCCUUCCUUCUUUCCUUCUUUCCUUCCUUCCUUCCUUCCUCUCUUUCUCUCUCUUUUAUUCCUUUCAGAUCAGUCCUACUUAUUUUCUAGAUAAUGUAAAUAAACUCCUGACUAGAAGAAGGGUCAGAGUUAAGAAAAAACAAAACAUUUAAAAUGUCUGCUUUAAGAGACUAUUUUGCCAUAUGGAUGAUAUUUUUGCCAUUUGUUGAAUACCUAGUAUAUGCAUAGGAAUUCAACAUAUAUAGGUAUUUGGAUACAUUUUACAUAAACUUUCAAAGAAAAGCUUCAAGAUCAGCUAUUUAUAGAUGAGGAAAAGAUUAAUGGGGCAGCCCUGCUACAAAUUCUUUAAAACGGAGCUCUGGAUUUUAGAGAACAUCCUCUUCCACAAGUAAUAGCAAAGGGGGAAAAGAGAAUGAUGAUGCUCAAAUAGGAAGUCAACAAAAUACAGUAUUUUCUUUGUUCUACCAAUCGAUACAUUUUACUUUCAACCCAGUUUCAUGUUUUCCAACCUUUUCAUCAAGUUAGUAAAGAUCACCAACCCCCAAUUUUAUCUUUGCCUUCCUUUUCAAUGCUAUGCAAUUUACCAGAACGCUCUGAAAGAUAUAUUUAAAGCUUGAUAAGGGAGUACAUUAUAUGACUCUCCACUGUUUCACUACAGAAAACAUGGCUGGUUUGAUAACCUUAAUGGAAAUAAUAAGAUACUUGCAGAGCUUCCUCCAAUGACAGAAAUACCUAAUUUCAUAGCCAUGACAAGGUCUUAUAUCUUACACAAAUUGAUGUUGAAAGGUUUGAAAAAACUAUCAGUGACCUCAGGCAACAUCUGAAUGUAUUUCAAAAUACUUCUUCAAUAUCACUAACAACUGGUCAACCAGAUUUUGCACAAAUGCAUUCAAACAGAAAUCCUCCAUACUAGUCAUAGGGACUUGAGUUCAAAUAAAAAUGUUCAGCUCUCAGCACUGUCACUUACUAAAUAUAUGAAUUCGCAGCAAGACAUUAACCUUUCUGAGCCUCAAUUUCUUUGUAAAAGAGAGAGCUUAAUACUUUCCUUGUAGAAUUAUUAUGAAGAUUAAAUGAAUUAAAGAAGAAAGUAAACUUUAAACAUUUCAACUGAGUUCUACUUUGUAGAUGGCAUAUGUAAAAUUGUGCAGUAUAUAAUAGUUGCUAUCAAAGAUUGGGUUUCUUUAAAAGGUUUGAGUAUAGGUAGUUUAUUUGUGAGGUCAUCCAGGAAACACUGGUAAGAAAGAAAGGAAGUAAAGAAUGGAGAGGAAUUUAAUUAAAUGUGUUAUUGAGCAGAUUUCAACCGUGGGUAACCUAUGAUCAAUUUUGCUAGAGGGCUCUGGGAAGCAAUAUAGAAUACUCCUCAACAAUGUUGUAUUCAAAGGGUAGAAAAAAUUGGUGCCUAUUUUUAAUUGCCUAAAGCAUAGUCCUAGGAACUUUUAUUCCAUGUCACUCCUACUCCUGGCUUCCCUGUGCAGCAAGAGUAACAGGUGAUUGCAGUUAAGAAGGUGUUGGUGUGCAUCCACAGCACUUACUAUAGAUGAUUAAUAACAGAAAGUUUAAUUUAUAUGUAGAAAUGCAUCUGAUGAUGAAUUUCAAAAGCCAAAAGUACAAGAAAAACUGGUAAUUAAUGAUAAUUUAAAUAUAAGUGCUAUGAUAGUUCUAGAUUUUCUAAAUCUUAUGCAAAGGUAACAAUAUGGCUUGGUCUUCCCACAUUCUUUUCUUUUUUUUUUUUUUAAGAAUGAAUGUUGCUGUUGCUGGGAUGUUCAGCAGUGGUUCCAUGGGGCUGAAGUCUAUAUGAGGAUUUGGUCUUGAGCAAGAAUUUAUUUUUACUCCAAAAGAAAUUAUUUUCUAAUUGCCAUUACUCUGAUUUAUUAACACCUGAGAGUAAUUGAAAGCGGUGUAUUAAAAUGUAAACUAUGCUUCAUAUAUGAUUUACAAAUGUUUGGAAGUUACAGAAAGAUGCAUAUAUGAUAUCUUUUGAAAGGCGGUAUGACAUCUCCUUUUGUUAAUGAGUGUACCACUUUGCGUUGUUAUACAGGGUUAAAGGUUGCCACUUCGGUUUGAAUGUGAUUGAGGUAAUAAAAAGAAAACCUCACUAUACAACCUUCUUCUCAUGUGAAGUAUACCAUUUUCUUAGAAUUGCAUAAAAUUUUAACUGGUACUAUGUAUGAAUAUUUUUUCUGAAAGCAACAUCUUGAUCAUUUCUGCAAAAUACUAUUAAAAUAAUCCCACAAAUAACAUUUUGUAGAUUUUCUUAUGAAUAUUUGUACUAUAUGAUGGAGAAGAUAUAUUUCCUACUGUAACUGGAGAAAGACUGUUUUUAUAGUUUCUUUUAAGAAAUCAGACCAAAUUCAGUGGCUCACACCUGUAAUCUCAACACUUUGGGAGGCUGAGGCAGGCGGGUGCUUGACGCCAGGAGUUCAAGGCCAGGCUGUGCAACACAGGCAGACUCCGUGUCUACAAAAAAUAAAAAAAAUGCUGGUCACGGUGACACACAGCUGUAGCCCUAACUACUUGGAAGGCUAAGGCCAGAGGAUCCCUUGAGCCUAGGAAUUUGAGGCUUCAGUGAGCUAUGAUAGUCUGACUGCACUCCACCCUGGGCCAAAGACCUUGUUACACACCAAAAAAAAAAGUCAAACAUUUACAUUUCCUUGUUACACGCUUCCACACCUUCUUUCUUCAGAAUAGUUGAGACUUGUCUCAUAUUUAUCUUAAG
rnacentral:lncRNA from 1 species